CCCAGAUUAGAUUGUACCCUGGCGAAUAAGCAAGAGUUCUUUUUCAUUUUCAUCUUGCAAUUCAACUGGGUAUUUGGGUUCUUUUUCUAUUCACUCAUGUCAGAUAGAGACAUGCAUGUUGUAAAUUAUUUUGUCAGAAUGAAAGCCUGGCAGAUUAAAUGCUUUCUUCUCUUCUUGCUUUACUUGAUAUCAAUCUCUUGUUCAUUUCUUGAUAAUAUGUUUGGUUAUUUUUGUUUUCAUUGCUUUUAGUGUCAGAGAUGGCUUUGGAUUCCCCAUUCUGUGUGCUGCUGUCUGGCUCCUGAACCCACCUGUAGAGGUGUGUCAAUCCCAGCUGGUGAAGUACUGAGAAGAAGCUACACAAAAGGCAUCAAAGUAUUAGUGAGUGGUGUCAUUGAGCAAACACAAAGUCGGGCUCAUCCAAGGAUGAGAUUUUGCCAGAGAAAGGACGAGCAGCAAGUCAGGGAGCUUAAGAGACGAGGUUUUACUACGUAGGCGAAGUUGGUCUCGAACUCCUGACCUCAGAUGAUCCACCCGCCUCAGCCUCCCAAAGUGCUGGGAUUACAGGCGUGAGCCACCGCACCUGGCCUGUUUAUUCUCUUAAGAGAGAAAAUGAGGGGAUUAGUGGACUGUAGUUCUGGACAAGGUGGAAAACUCUUAAAGUGGAAGUAUUGGGGCAAGUGCUCUGACAGGCUAGGAUGGUGCAGUCAGUCCCUUCACCCAGAAAUCAGUAGAAUGUUAACAGUUCAGACUCAAACCUUGUGAAAAACAGGUUCUAGAAAGGAAAUCCCUCACAGCAACUGGCACCAUAAUCAAGACAGAAUUUUUGCAGAAUAAAUAGAGUUACCUGCUUUCAGCCCCAGGUCGUAGCUAUUGUCUGCCCUGCUGAUAUGUGAUAAUAAUUUGUGAUCCUGUUGUCUUAAAAUGGGGUCACUCAUCUCCAGUAGAAUUAAGUCCACAGUGAAGUUGUCCCCCCAUCCCCAGAGAUAAACAUAUAUGAAUGAACUUACGUGAUAACAACUACUGCUGCCUGGGAUCAUGAGAGACCUGAACUGAACUGAUAGGAAGUGAAAGGUGGCUGAGGUAAUGAGAAUAGACCCAUCUGCAGAGGAUCAUAAAACCAGCAAAGACAAGAUCUUGUCUAAGAUGCCUUCACAAACUUUGUCCAUGAGAACUGUAAGGUCUUCUCCAGACCUGUUGGCUGCUGCUGUGAUCUCUGCCCAAGAGGAGCUUCUGACCAACAUCCAAAGGGCUUCUGGACCCACUGGACUCCUCUGGAGUUGCUCCUUCACAUGUUCCCACUCUCUGUGCGGCCACCAUGGAAGUCGGACCUGCCCUUCUGCCAUGAUUGUAAGUUUCCUGAAGGACUUCCCCCUCUGCCAUGAUUCUAAGUUUCCUGAGGCCUCCCCAGCCAUGUGAAACUGAGUCAGUUAAACCUCUUUCCUUUAAAAAUUACCCAACCUGAGGUAUUUCUUUAUAUCAGUGUGAAAACAGACUGCUAUACUUUCUGAUAAUCAUGCUUAAGCAACUGGGGAAUUCAGACUAGCUGGGAUCAAACUAUGGCCCCACCCUUAGCAGUCAUGUGACCUUGGGGAGGUUGCUUACCUUCUCCGUCUCAACAACUUCUGCAAAAUCUGUAACAUGAGAUUGUUUCUGAGGGUUAAAUGAGCAUAGCACAGUGGGGACACUGUCAGGCACACACUACUUGCCAGAUGUCGAGUAUUCAUCUUUAUUGAAAUAGGACUGUGGUAAGCCACUUUAUGGCUCUCGAUUUUGUAUGAGAAAAUCAUGCUUA
rnacentral:lncRNA from 1 species